UACGUAGGUGGCGAGCGUUGUCCGGAUUUACUGGGCGUAAAGGGCGUGCAGGCGGUUCGUUAAGUUCGAGGUGAAAGCUCCCGGCUCAACUGGGAGAGGUCCCCGGAUACUGGCGGACUUGAGGGAGGCAGAGGAAAGUGGAAUUCCCGGUGUAGUGGUGAUAUGCGUAGAUAUCGGGAGGAACACCAGUGGCGAAGGCGGCUUUCUGGGCCUUACCUGACGCUGAGACGCGAAAGCGUGGGGAGCGAACCGG
rnacentral:misc_RNA from 1 species